UACAUGGGGUGCAAACGUUGCUCGGAAUUAUUGGGCGUAAAGCGCACGUAGGCGGUUUGUUAAGUCGGAUGUGAAAUCCCUCGGCUCAACCGAGGAAGUGCAUCCGAAACUGGCAGGCUUGAGUACUAAAGAGGGUCGCGGAAUUCCCGGUGUAGAGGUGAAAUUCGUAGAUAUCGGGAGGAACACCGGUGGCGAAGGCGGCGACCUGGGUAGAUACUGACGCUGAGGUGCGAAAGCGUGGGGAGCAAACAGG
rnacentral:rRNA from 1 species